rnacentral:rRNA from 1 species
CCUACGGGAGGCAGCAGUCGAGAAUCAUUCACAAUGAGGGAAACCCUGAUGGUGCGACGCCGCGUGGGGGAAUGAAGGUCUUCGGAUUGUAAACCCCUGUCAUGUGGGAGCAAAUUAAAAAGAUAGUACCACAAGAGGAAGAGACGGCUAACUCUGUGCCAGCAGCCGCGGUAAUACAGAGGUCUCAAGCGUUGUUCGGAAUCACUGGGCGUAAAGCGUGCGUAGGCUGUUUCGUAAGUCGUGUGUGAAAGGCGCGGGCUCAACCCGCGGACGGCACAUGAUACUGCGAGACUAGAGUAAGGGAGGGGGAACCGGAAUUCUCGGUGUAGCAGUGAAAUGCGUAGAUAUCGAGAGGAACACUCGUGGCGAAGGCGGGUUCCUGGACAUUAACUGACGCUGAGGCACGAAGGCCAGGGGAGCGAAAGGGAUUAGAUACCCUGGUAGUC